UAGGGAUACAGGUUAGGGUUGUAUUAUAGUCCAAAUAGAAUGAUAACUGUUGUUUUUUAUAUUUAGUCACAUAAGUUAAGUUGUAUUUACUUUGGAUUAUAAAUUGUUGAAUUGAGUUGCCUGGAGAUCCUAAACAUUCGAAAACCGUUCCUUUAACAACGUUACGUUACGUUCCAUUAACAACGUUCCUUUACGUUCCUCAUACCCGGUAUCAAGAUUUACGUUACGUUCCAUUAACAACGUUCCGUUUCCGGUACCCGGCAAGUUCUAUUUUCCUGAUUCAUGUUUCGAGAUUUGAUUUGAAGUGUCUGUUGAUUGUUAUUAAAGAUAUUCACCGAU